AUCUGUCUUCGAUCCUAUGAUUCCCUCUUCCCCCCCGAAGCUGCGGGCUCAGUCGAAGAGGACGACCUUCCCCGAAUAGAGGAGGACCGGUCUUCGGUCAAGGGUAUACGAGUAGCUGUGCUCCCCUACUAGAACCUCCAAACAAGCUCUCAGUCAUAAUUUUAAGAUCCAAAAUUUAAGGCUACAAAUAUGUGAAGAAAUUAGGAAAUUUCUGAAUUUUUCU
rnacentral:snRNA from 1 species